rnacentral:rRNA from 1 species
CAGCCGCCACGGUAAUACGGAGGGUGCAAGCGUUAAUCGGAAUUACUGGGCGUAAAGCGCACGCAGGCGGUCUGUUAAGUCAGAUGUGAAAUCCCCGGGCUUAACCUGGGAACUGCAUUUGAAACUGGCAGGCUUGAGUCUUGUAGAGGGGGGUAGAAUUCCAGGUGUAGCGGUGAAAUGCGUAGAGAUCUGGAGGAAUACCGGUGGCGAAGGCGGCCCCCUGGACAAAGACUGACGCUCAGGUGCGAAAGCGUGGGGAGCAAACAGGAUUAGAUACCCGCGUAGUCCCUGUCUCUUAUAC